UUGGAAAAAUUUGAAUAAUUGGAUCAAGAGAUAUGAAUUUCUAAAGUUUAAAAAGAAGAAAUUAUUUGGAGAAAUAUUAUAUUUUUAAAAAGAUUUUAUUAUAACUUGAGCCUUUUAUAUAAAGCAAAGGAGUAUUUUAUAAACCAAGAAUUUAUAUAUAUAUUGAAGAUAGAUAUAUGGAGCUAUGGUUGAAUUUUUAUAUAAAGAUGAGCUUUUGAGAGGAGAUUGUUGAUUUCUUUUGAAGUUAUUGAAAACCUAAUCUAUCAGCAAAUGGUUAGCUAUGAUUUAGUAUAGCCAAGAAUGUUAGAAAAUUUCUAGAUAUUUUAGAAAGCCUUAUGUACAAACCUUCUUAAAUAUAAAAGGAUUUAUUAGUA
rnacentral:lncRNA from 1 species